CGAGGCGGCGGCCAACGCCACGAUCCCGAUGACAAUCCAGCGCUUCUUGUUCGGUUGAUUCAUGCCUCGCGAGGAAUGUAAUUCGGCCCUGGUUGGCAGGACUGCAUCGCUGUCGUUUUCCCUGAUUCGACCCCCGCCAACGCCUUUCGGCGAACUCAAUCUUUCACAUUAAUUUUCGUGUCCGAUUUGAACGCGGGGCCGAGUCUAACCGCGCAUUUCUCGCCGCGCACCCGGACGCUUAUUUGGCCUUUGCGCCAUUCCCAAUCCACUUUGCUGAGGCGUGUCGAAAGUCCCUUUACACUCAUGGUUAUGUCGAGCCAUUCCUUCGGGAUACCGGCGCCAAUCACCAGCGUUGGUUCAUCGCCGGAUUCGUCGAGGCAGGCGA
rnacentral:misc_RNA from 1 species